rnacentral:ncRNA from 2 species
GUGUGCGGAAAUGCUUCUG